UACGAAGGGGGCUAGCGUUGUUCGGAAUAACUGGGCGUAAAGCGCAUGUAGGCGGAUCUUUAAGUCAGAGGUGAAAUCCCAGGGCUCAACCCCGGCAUUGCCUUUGAUACUGGAGAUCUGGAGUCUGGGAGAGGUGAGUGGAAUUCCGAGUGUAGAGGUGAAAUUCGUAGAUAUUCGGAGGAACACCAGUGGCGAAGGCGGCUCACUGGCCCGAGACUGACGCUGAGAUGCGAAAGCGUGGGGAGCAAACAGG
rnacentral:rRNA from 1 species